rnacentral:rRNA from 1 species
UACGUAGGUUGCAAGCGUUGUCCGGAAUUAUUGGGCGUAAAGAGCUCGUAGGCGGUCUGUCGCGUCUGCUGUGAAAACUCAGGGCUUAACCCUGAGCUUGCAGUGGGUACGGGCAGACUAGAGUGCGGUAGGGGAGACUGGAAUUCCUGGUGUAGCGGUGGAAUGCGCAGAUAUCAGGAGGAACACCGGUGGCGAAGGCGGGAUCCUGGGCCAGUACUGACGCUGAGGAGCGAAAGCGUGGGGAGCAAACAGG